CCUAGAAAAGGCAAAACAAACAAACAAACAAACAAACAAACUAGAUUGCCCUUUCCCACUACAUAAAGUGCUCCUAGCCAUCUCCGCCAAUCAUCAUUUGUUAAAUACUCAUGAUGUUAGCUCAUUUGGGUAAUAAAAAGAGCAAACAAUUAAGAAACUAAGUCUGAUGAAAAAUAUACAAUAUAUAACCAAGUCAGCUGUAAGUGAUUUUUGCAUAAUUUAUAACAUCCUUCUCCUCUAUUACCAUGAAUAAAUAAGAAUUGAAAAUAGGCCACUUCAGAACAAGACAUGCCAAUAAUUAUUAAAUAUAUAAUUUCAAGUGCUUUGAUGUAAGCCUAUAUAUUUAGUGGUAGAAGCCAGUAUCUAUGUAUGAGCCAAGUGAAUACACAUAUGGUACCUUUAACAAUAAAGUCUACUAUUAUGAUUGCAUGAAAAAGACAAGAGACAGCAGAAGAGUUCAUACAUAAGAGUUCUAAAGUUCUCUUAUGGCGCAGUGGGUUAAAGUACUGCUGUUGUCAUUGCAGUGGCUUGAGUUGCUGCUGUGGCAUGGGUUCGACCCCUGACUAGGGACAUUCCACAUGCUAUGAGCAUGGCCAAAAAAUGAAGAGUUCUAAUGUCUGGUAAGGGGAGUUAGAAACAGAAGAACUGAUUCUUUCCUGCUCUUCCAUGCCUGUAGAUAAAAUCUCAUGAUUUCUUUGACUUUCCAGUGGAAUAAAAAGACAAACUUGAUCUAGCUCUAGUAUCCUCAAAUAGCAUAUACCAUAUACUAUAAUAGAGGGUAGAAGCAUGUAUGCAAUAAAUACAUAAAAUGGUUUUGAAUCAAGGAAAUUGGUCACAAGCUCAUGAAGACUCAGGGCAUCCAGCCAUUUGAUUAUAUUUGAAUGUGUUGGGGAGAGGGAUUAAAGCAAGAGAGCGUCUCCCACACCUAGUCUUAAACAUAGAUUAUGGAGAAGCACUGGAAUGUUACAGAUGGUCAUAGUCUGUCCUAGUACAUGGAAGAAGAUCUGUACUAGGACAGACAGGAGAACACAUGACCAUCUGUAACAUGAUGAAAUUAAGGAGCGAAACCACAAGCAUCACACAAGCCAGCUAUGAGUGCAAUGGUAUGAUUUUGCUGGAGUGAGAAUUAACAAAGGAACCCUCAGGUAUCAGCCAGAUAUAAGUGGGCACAUGAAUGCCAAGAGAGAAAAACUGAAAUGAAAAUCCGAUUACCAAUUUUGUCUCUAGCUAAAAGCUAUUAAUUGUGCCUUUGUAUAAUCUGAAGUAAUUUAUUUACCCUGCCUAAUUAUACUGAUAUUAAGAAUAUAUCUAUAACUACAGAUGCGAAUAUAUGGAAUUUAUAUACAAAAAGUGAUUGUGUGUGUUUAGUUUGCCUUUCCUAUAUGUGUUUUACUUGGGGACAAGCAAGGUGAUUUUAAGGUUCAGCAUAACAAAAAUUUAAAUUGAUAAGGAAUAAAUAUGGGAGUUUUUCCACUUACAGCCUUUCCACCCCAACAUUAAAUAUAUUUACAUGUUCUAAAAAAGUAAAUAGCUUGAUGGACUAUCUCAGUCUUUUUCUGAGUGCAGACUAUUUUUUGUAUCCCUUCAUUUUAUAUUUUUAUGGUAUUUUAUGACACAUAUUUUAUGAUAGAUCAGGUUUUAAACAGAGAAAUGGACUAUUUGGGGGAGAAACCCUUAAAUUUUGAAGCCAUUCCUACUCUAAGGGUGACUGGAUUAUCAGACAGUCAAAACUGAUGUAUUUUAAACAUAAACUGAUUUUAAUUUUUCCUCUAAUUAAUGUCUUCAAAUACGCCUUUUAAGCUUCUUUUUUCUUCCCCUUAAUAAUCUUGAGCAGAUUUUAAGUAUAAAAAAGUCCAUUCUAGUUAACACUACUUUUUGCAUCUUCAUCCUCAUUAGCAUUGACCAGCCCUAGAGCCUAGGGAAUGGAAGAGAGAGGGACUUGGUCAGCUUUCCAUCCAUCCUCUUCCUUUCUUCUCCUGGGUGGGAAGAUAAAGCUCUCCUACCCAACUGGCUCCUGCUCAAAACCUCCCGACACUGUCACUUGUAUGGCUCUGCCUCCUGGCCACUGACAUCAUUGCCUAAAUGCAAAAGUACCCCCUGCUAAGUAACCUAUGAUCAUUUAAGACAGGGGUGGGGGGGGGGCUUCUAGGGGAGCCUCUUAACUGCCCAAGUCCCUGACAAUGGAAAUCUGCAGCUUCCUGCUCUUCCAAGCUCCCUAAACUGCUUCAGUCUCUUGAUCCAGGGCCUUUCUCCUGACAGGGGUCCUUUUGUUCUGACACUGUCCACUCUCUCUAUUCUGCCACUUCUCAAUUCUUUAUCUCCCUGCUAAAACCAGUACAGAAAAGAGAUCCUCAGCUCACAUGGCGGACAUCCCGCUAUGGUGGAGGCAUCUGUAGUCCCUGAGCAAUUCUCCUGAAGUUCCCUCCUUGCCCUUAGUGGUGAGGAAGGACCCUCCAAAAGGAAUCCCUAAGCCACGGUUCCCUUCAUCAGGUGUUGUCUUCAUGCCAAGGCUGUCUUUCAAGUGUCUCCCCAUUGUGGCCAUCCCCCUUUUAACUAGAGUAGGUGGGUGUCUUUGGGGUCUGGAGUGAUUGCUAAGACAGCAACUCUGGUACUAAUUUUUAUUACUAUUUUAGGACUAAUUUUUAUUUUUAUUUUUUAAGGAGAAGUAUUUGGUCUCUUUUGUUCUUGUGUGGAACCACAGGACAAUUUCUAUUUAAUACAUUGUUGCAUAGCAUAUUCAAUAGGACCUGUGACAAAUAUGAGUAUAUGUAGAAUUUGAGGAACUGGUUCUUGUGAAAAACUGAAAUAAAGGGAAGGAAAUAUGAAGCCCCAACAUUUGAAAUGUUAUUUCACAAAACAACUCAGACUUAUCAUCAAUUGAAACAGAAGUUCAAAGAAAAAAAUAUUACCAUGAAUAAAAAAAAGAUAAUGGUUAAAUGUGGAGAUAAUCAUUAAUAAAGGAAAGAUCAUUUCAUUGUUUAGAAUAUAAUUUUUAGAUAAGAAAUGAAAUAAAACAUGUUUUAGUGGUGGUUAUUAUCACUGUUUCUCUUUUAUUAAAAACAAAUAAACUAACUAACUUUGGGUAGGUAUGUCAGUGGUGCUAGUUAAAAUCCUAGCCCAAAUAAACAUAGUUACUGUUGUAUUCUAAACACAGCUAAUCAGUAAUAGAUUCCAAAAGAGAAAGCCACUGUAUUUUUUCAUGAAUUCUGUACAGAGUGCAUGUAAAAUAUUUGAACACAAAGUUACAGUAAUUUGAAAAAAGAAAUGCCUUUUAGACUACCAUGCCUUAAAAUAGUAAAAGUAGAUUUAAAUAUUAUCUUUUAUACCUAGUUGACAUGUAACUAUUUGUUCAGAUUUUCCCACAGGCUGACCCUGAUAAAGGAGGCAAAUCUCAAAGGGACUGACGGUCACACCACAGCUUAGUGAGUGACACUGAUGGACUGUGACGGGAACCUGACAGUGUCAAGAUUCGUUUACAGUGAAAAUGACGGCAAGACUGGGCAUUUCCUCCAUACCAUUGGAGACCACUUAGAGGGAUGUCAACAACACCUUAACAACAGAAUCAAGACAACUAAGGAAGAGUAAAUACUAGUCUCAGAUGCUACAGAUGUUCUGCUGUUGCUUCAGAAGCAGCCUCACUCAAGGUAGAUGGAAGUUCCACCAGGAAUGGAAUCCAAACAAUAUCUGCCACCUUCACCACAUGGGAUCCUUAACCCACUGAAAUGGGUGGGGAUCGAACCUGCAAUGACACACUGACAAGCUGGGUCAUUAACCCACUGCCCACAAAGGGAACUCCACUUCCUGUCUAUUCUAUCAUGUUCAUUCUCUCACAUAAUUCAUGUGGAAUGUAAGGACCAUUGUUGACAGUCCCAGAUGCUCUCAUUUAAAUGUACCUUACCUAACACCUGGGCAUAUAUACCUUGUUAAUUGUUGCUCGUAAUUAAAAUAAUAUAUUAAAUAACUACUUAAGACCUCAGUUUUUUUGGCUAAACACAAUUUUUCAAAACAAAUUGAAUAUUCAAGAACUUCCUUUAGUUAAAAUGGUCUGUAUAGAAACUGCUUUUCUUUUUUUGUUAAUUUUGAAAUUUUGUUCCAAGGGCUUCUUCUAAAGAGAUCUUUUCACAAAGAAACAUCUGGAGUAUGUUUUGCACCUUAUCAUGUUCUUGAACCAUUUUCACUAAACUAUACUUAUGGUAUGAACACAGCAAUAAACAAAAAUUUUAAAA